UAGCGCCAGAACAACAGUUGACGAGGAUAGUAGUUAUCGAAUUUUCGGCGGAUGCUACUACGGGUUAAUGUACUCGUUAGAUAUAUUUUAAAAAAUAAAAUCAAAAUUAUAACAAAGAAUAUAUCAUAC
rnacentral:ncRNA from 1 species